rnacentral:misc_RNA from 1 species
GAUGAAGAACGUAGCGAAAUGCGAUAAGUAAUGUGAAUUGCAGAAUUCAGUGAAUCAUCGAGUCUUUGAACGCACAUUGCGCCCCCUGGUAUUCCGGGGGGCAUGCCUGUCCGAGCGUCAUUGCCGCCCUCAAGCACGGCUUGUGUGUUGGGCCCCCGCCCCCCGGCUUCGGGGGGCGGGCCCGAAAGGCAGCGGCGGCACCGCGUCCGGUCCUCGAGCGUAUGGGGCUUCGUCACCCGCUCUGUAGGCCCGGCCGGCGCCCGCCGGCGACCCCAAUCAAUCUUUCCAGGUUGACCUCGGAUCAGGUAGGGAUACCCGCUGAACUUUAGCAUAUCAAUAAGCGGAGGA